GAUGAACGCUGGCGGCGUGCCUAAUACAUGCAAGUCGAGCGAACAGACGAGGAGCUUGCUCCUCUGACGUUAGCGGCGGACGGGUGAGUAACACGUGGAUAACCUACCUAUAAGACUGGGAUAACUUCGGGAAACCGGAGCUAAUACCGGAUAAUAUAUUGAACCGCAUGGUUCAAUAGUGAAAGACGGUUUUGCUGUCACUUAUAGAUGGAUCCGCGCCGCAUUAGCUAGUUGGUAAGGUAACGGCUUAACAAGGCAACGAUGCGUAGCCGACCUGAGAGGGUGGUCGGCCACACUGGAACUGAGACACGGUACAGACUCCUACGGGAGGCAGCAGUAGGGAAUCUUACGCGAUGGGGGAAAGCCUGACGGUGCAACGCCGCGUGAGUGAUUAAGGUCUUCGGAUCGUAAAACUCUGUUAUUAGGGAAGAACAAAUGUGUAAGUAACUAUGCACGUCUUGACGGUACCUAAUCAGAAAGCCCCGGCUAACUACGUG
rnacentral:rRNA from 1 species